rnacentral:rRNA from 1 species
AUUGAACGCUGGCGGCAGGCCUAACACAUGCAAGUCGAGCGGAUGAAGGGAGCUUGCUCCUGGAUUCAGCGGCGGACGGGUGAGUAAUGCCUAGGAAUCUGCCUGGUAGUGGGGGAUAACGUCCGGAAACGGGCGCUAAUACCGCAUACGUCCUGAGGGAGAAAGUGGGGGAUCUUCGGGCCUCACGCUAUCAGAUGAGCCUAGGUCGGAUUAGCUAGUCGGUGGGGUAAAGGCCUACCAAGGCGACGAUCCGUAACUGGUCUGAGAGGAUGAUCAGUCACACUGGAACUGAGACACGGUCCAGACUCCUACGGGAGGCAGCAGUGGGGAAUAUUGGACAAUGGGCGAAAGCCUGAUCCAGCCAUGCCGCGUGUGUGAAGAAGGUCUUCGGAUUGUAAAGCACUUUAAGUUGGGAGGAAGGGCAGUAAGUUAAUACCUUGCUGUUUUGACGUUACCAACAGAAUAAGCACCGGCUAACUUCGUG